UUGUUCUCAAAACCCUCUCCCCUUCUCUGAAACCCUCCCAAAUUUUCAAUCCUCUCCAAUGGCGGCGACCGACGAACCCUCUGAUCACUCAUAGUUUCCAUCGUAUUCGGAGAUGAUAAUGGCAGCGCCGUCGGAGCCGGAGAAGUCUAACUAGCGCUUAUAGUUGUCGUCGUCGCCAUCGUCUUCAUCUUCAGCGUCGCCGUUGGAGCUCAAAACGUAGCUCUUGACCUCAUCGAAGUUUGGGUUUGAUUUUCACUUGGUACAAUUCUUCUUUGCUUGCAUGCCUUCAUUAGCUGUUUAUCUAGUGGCUCAGUAUGCACGCUAUGAAAUCAGAAGGAUGGAAGUGAGAAAGCCCUUGUGGAAUGUAUGUAUGAUCUUCGAUCUGAGCUGGAGAAAACUGCAUCUGAUGUUUCAGCCUUAUUUUCUAAAAUUGAGCGUAAAGAUAAGAUAAGAGGAUGGAAACAAGAUUCUCGUUCAGAAAUUCCAGUCUCAGUUGAUUCGGCAGUUGGAUAUGAUUCAUAAAACUGUCUUAGAUUCUGUAAUGCAACAUGAGACCCAUAUACAAGAAAUGGAAGAAGAAAUGAGAUCUUUUAUAUCUACAAAAUCUGAGGCCACAGAAGAGCUUAGAGGGAUGGUCAAAAAAUUGCAAACCAUGUUCUGUUCUAGCAUUAGAACGUUGGAUGAUUUAGCCAGUGAACUUGACAAGAAAUCUCAAUCAACUUGUGAGAAACUGAACACUCAAGUGAACUUGCACUCCUCUGCACUUGAUGAUUCUAUUGCAGUAGUUGACCAUGGCUUACAUCAGUAUUCCAAAUACUGAAACAGACAAUGUGGUUGUCAUGCAUGCAGCUUUGGCAGCUAGAGGCGUUGUUGCUACUACAGAAGGGCACGUACUUGAGCUACAGUCAAGCCUUGAGCUACACCAGUCAAAGCACUAAGCUAGAACCUUGUAGCACUGCGCCGAAGGGAACUAUAUGGAAGCUUGGAACGUAGGUGGGGUACUUCUUCGAGGAGCACUAGAAACGUUUAUGGGUUCUGGUUCUAUAUAUGGAUGGGUAUCAUGGUGGCUCUGUUUUUUCUGGAAGUUCAUUCAAUAUUGCAACCGCCACUGUAUCAAGUGAUGGGUUACUGCCUCACAACCGCCAAAGGUACCGCUGAGAUGUUGAAGUUAAACAUGGCGCUCAUUCUCCUCCCUGUUUGCCGCAACACCAAAGCAUACCUGUUGGAAACUAAAGUCUUUAUUGCAGAAUUAGUUUGCUUAAUGUAAUGUUGCCUGUGUUACCUGUGUUAAGAUGCAGGAUUAGUUUGAUUAAUGUAAUGUUAUAGGAUCAGUUUACUUAAUGUAAUGUUGCCAGUGUUAAAAUACAGGAUCAGUUUGCUUAAAUGUAAUGUUGCCAUCAGUUUACUUAA